rnacentral:rRNA from 1 species
UACAGAGGUCUCAAGCGUUGUUCGGAUUCAUUGGGCGUAAAGGGCGCGCAGGCGGCUGCUCAAGUCAGGCGUGAAAGGCCUGGGCUCAACCCGGGAAUUGCGCUUGAGACUGGGCUGGCUUGAGUGCGGGAGAGGAUGGUGGAAUUCCCAGUGUAGAGGUGAAAUUCGUAGAUAUUGGGAAGAACACCGGUGGCGAAGGCGGCCAUCUGGACCGCAACUGACGCUGAGGCGCGAAAGCGUGGGGAGCAACAGG